rnacentral:rRNA from 1 species
CAGUCGCCGCGGGAAUACGUAGGGUGCGAGCGUUAAUCGGAAUUACUGGGCGUAAAGCGUGCGCAGGCGGUGAUGUAAGACAGUUGUGAAAUCCCCGGGCUCAACCUGGGAACUGCAUCUGUGACUGCAUCGCUGGAGUGCGGCAGAGGGGGAUAGAAUUCCGCGUGUAGCAGUGAAACGCGUAGAUAUGCGGAGGAACACCGAUGGCGAAGGCAAUCCCCUGGGCCUGCACUGACGCUCAUGCACGAAAGCGUGGGGAGCAAACAGGAUUAGAUACCCCCGUAGUCCCUGUCUCUUAUAC